rnacentral:rRNA from 1 species
UAGUGGCGGACGGGUGAGUAACGCGUGGGUAACCUGCCUCACACUGGGGGAUAACAGUUAGAAAUAGCUGCUAAUACCGCAUAAGCGCACGGUUCCGCAUGGAACAGUGUGAAAAACUCCGGUGGUGUGAGAUGGACCCGCGUCUGAUUAGCCAGUUGGCGGGGUAACGGCCCACCAAAGCGACGAUCAGUAGCCGGCCUGAGAGGGUGAACGGCCACAUUGGGACUGAGACACGGCCCAAACUCCUACGGGAGGCAGCAUG